rnacentral:rRNA from 1 species
GUAACCUGCCUUCAAGAGGGGGAUAACAUUCUGAAAAGAAUGCUAAUACCGCAUGACAUAUCGGAACCACAUGGUUUUGAUAUCAAAGAUUUUAUCGCUUGAAGAUGGACUCGCGUCCGAUUAGUUAGUUGGUGAGGUAACGGCUCACCAAGACCGCGAUCGGUAGCCGGACUGAGAGGUUGAACGGCCACAUUGGGACUGAGACACGGCCCAGACUCCUACGGGAGGCAGCAUG